rnacentral:rRNA from 1 species
UACAGAGGGUGCGAGCGUUGUCCGGAAUUACUGGGCGUAAAGGGCGCGUAGGCGGCCCGAUAAGUAGGACGUGAAAUUCCGUGGCUUAACCACGGAACUGCGUUCUAGACUGUCAGGCUUGAGCACGGUAGAGGCAGAUGGAAUUCCAGGUGUAGCGGUGAAAUGCGUAGAUAUCUGGAGGAACACCGGUGGCGAAGGCGGCAUCCUGGACCGGCAUUGACGCUGAGGCGCGAAAGCCAGGGGAGCAAACGGG